AUUGAACGCUGGCGGCAGGCCUAACACAUGCAAGUCGAGCGGGGUUUUCGGACCUAGCGGCGGACGGGGGAGUAAUGCGUAGGAAGCUACCCGAUAGAGGGGGAUACCAGUUGGAAACGACUGUUAAUACCGCAUAAUGUCUACGGACCAAAGUGUGGGACCUUCGGGCCACAUGCUAUCGGAUGCGCCUACGUGGGAUUAGCUAGUUGGUGGGGUAAGGGCUCACCAAGGCGACGAUCCCUAGCUGGCUUGAGAGGAUGACCAGCCACACUGGAACUGAGACACGGUCCAGACUCCUACGGGAGGCAGCAGUGGGGAAUAUUGGACAAUGGGCGCAAGCCUGAUCCAGCCAUGCCGCGUGUGUGAAGAAGGCCUUCGGGUUGUAAAGCACUUUCAGUAGGGAGGAAGAGUUGAGUGUUAAUAGUACGCAGCUUUGACGUUACCUACAGAAGAAGCACCGGCUAACUCUGUGCCAGCAGCCGCCGUAAGAC
rnacentral:rRNA from 1 species